GAUGAAGAACGUAGCGAAAUGCGCUAAGUAAUGUGAAUUGCAGAAUUCAGUGAAUCAUCGAAUCUUUGAACGCACCUUGCGCUCCUUGGUAUUCCGAGGAGCAUGCCUGUUUGAGUGUCAUGAAAUUCUCAACCUUUCUGGCUUUUGCUAGUCAGGCUUGGAUUAUGGGAGCUGCUGGCUUUUGAAGUCGGCUCUUCUAAAAUGUAUUAGCAAGAUCAUUGCUGCUCAUCAUUGGUAUGAUAAUUAUCUAUAUCAUUGAGAGUCAGUUUCCUUUAUUGGAAGAUUUUGCUCCUAACGGUCUUUAGCAAGACAACAUUUGACGAUUUUGACCUCAAAUCAGGUAGGACUACCCGCUGAACUUAAGCAUAUCAAUAAGCGGAGGA
rnacentral:misc_RNA from 1 species